rnacentral:rRNA from 2 species
UGGGGAAUAUUGCACAAUGGGGGAAACCCUGAUGCAGCAACGCCGCGUGAAGGAUGACGGUUUUCGGAUUGUAAACUUCUUUUCUUAGUGACGAAGACAGUGACGGUAGCUAAGGAAUAAGCAUCGGCUAACUACGUGCCAGCAGCCGCGGUAAUACGUAGGAUGCAAGCGUUAUCCGGAUUUACUGGGUGUAAAGGGAGCGCAGGCGGGACUGCAAGUUGGAUGUGAAAUACCGUGGCUUAACCACGGAACUGCAUCCAAAACUGUAGUUCUUGAGUGAAGUAGAGGCAAGCGGAAUUCCGAGUGUAGCGGUGAAAUGCGUAGAUAUUCGGAGGAACACCAGUGGCGAAGGCGGCUUGCUGGGCUUUAACUGACGCUGAGGCUCGAAAGUGUGGGGAGCAAACAGGAUUAGAUACCCUGGUAGUCCACACUGUAAACGAUGAUAGCUAGGUGUGGGGGGUCUGACCCCUUCCGUGCCGGAGUUAACGCAAUAAGCUAUCCACCUGGGGAGUACGACCGCAAGGUUGAAACUCAAAGGAAUUGACGGGGGCCCGCACAAGCAGUGGAUUAUGUGGUUUAAUUCGAAGCAACGCGAAGAACCUUACCAGGUCUUGACAUCCGACUAACGAGAUAGAGAUAUGUCAGGUGCCCUUCGGGGAAAGUCGAGACAGGUGGUGCAUGGUUGUCGUCAGCUCGUGUCGUGAGAUGUUGGGUUAAGUCCCGCAACGAGCGCAACCCCUGCCAUUAGUUGCUACGCAAGAGCACUCUAAUGGGACCGCUACCGACAAGGUGGAGGAAGGUGGGGACGACGUCAAAUCAUCAUGCCCCUUAUGACCUGGGCUACACACGUAAUACAAUGGCCGUUAACAGAGGGAAGCAAAGCGGUGACGCAGAGCAAAACCCUAAAAACGGUCCCAGUUCGGACUGUAGGCUGCAACCCGCCUACACGAAGUUGGAAUUGCUAGUAAUCGCGGAUCAGCAUGCCGCGGUGAAUACGUUCCC